rnacentral:lncRNA from 1 species
ACUGCAUAGAAUAUCUUACCAAUCAUAACAUCUAUAUGGGGUAGCAAAUACCCAAAACAACUGAAAUCUGAAUCAAAUCUGAACUAAAUCUGAAAGCCUCUAAAUACUGUCUGAGUAAGGAGUUGAAGGAACAUGUCUCCAACUAACUCCGUCUAGCAAAAAUGAACUGAAAUAAUAAAUGAAAUAAAUAAUAUCAUCCUCGAAUGGAUGAGGACUCACUUCAACUCUACAACUGGACUGCUACUGCUACUGUUGAUUUGGAGCUCGUAUCUGUGAACCUAUGGUGUAACAUGAAAAAAAAUACCAUAGCACAAAUGUGUCAGUACAACUGGGAGUACUGAGUAUACAGUGAUUUAGGCUAAAUGCAAAAGGGUUUACAUGCAUGAACGAUGCUAAUUGACUGACUGAUAUGAACAAAAGAGUGCAAACAUCCAUACGUAGUAACUGAUAUCGUGAUUACAUAAUAUCUGGAUAUGGAUACUAAUACAUGAUCUACUGAUAUCUAUCAUGACAAAUACUGAAAUUCUGAUAAAAUAGAUAAUUGUGUCUGAAAGUCCUGAAUCUAAUGGAACUAUCUGUGUUCCGUUCUAUAACUAAAUUGAUUGUAUCUGAAGAACUAUCUGGGUUCUUUUACUGAGACUGGGACUGAAACUGUGGGAGGUAGUUAUUUGAUCGACAUGCCCUUAGGGUCCAUACCGCACCACUGGUAAGGACAGCUGUGAGUGAUCCUUAGCUGGCAGGUACUCAAAAUGAGAAUAGUGGGAACCCUAAACUGACAGAUUAAGCCACCUCAUCAACCCUAUUUGACAGGUUAAGAUGUCUCAACAUAUGCUGGCUACGUAGUUCUGGAACACAAGGAUGAUUACUAAGAAUCACACCCUAAAUUGGCAGGUGAGUUCCCAUCCUUAUAUUUACUCAGUGCUAACUUCUACUCCUAUCUGAAGAGAUUGAACAUGAGUUAACUGACGGUACAUGGACUAAGUAACUGACUUCCAUUGACUGAUGGAUUAGUGCUACUAUCUGAGAAUUAACUGAGAUCAUGAAAUUUCUGAGGUUUCCUGAGUCACAUACCCGACUGAGUUCUAUAGAUCAUGGCUUGACUGAGAUUAUCGUGAUAACAUGACAUGGAUCUAGGCACACAGCUGUAUUUUUCGGGAACAAGUACCCCUAAGACUCGAUGGAAGGAAACUGACACACAUGACUAAUUUGAUCGUAAGAGUAGAGUCCACAAUUUAUCAUAUCAUGAGUAGGGGAUUUCACACUAAGCAUAGUUCUCAACAUCUUAUACAUGGAAGGGAAAUUCAUACAACAUGUAUAUACUUGCAUAGCUUCAAUAUCAUGGUCAAUCCAUAUCACAACAACAAUGCAUAUCACUCACUUGGAGUUCAUGAGAAAUCGUAAAGCAUAGAGCAUGGACUUGUUAUUUAAGCACUAUUAAAUCAUGGGAGAUGAAUUCUAUCAUCUAGGCAUAUUAUCAAACACUUUGCAUGCAUUCUUUUAGCUUAAGUGUGUUAAUGAAUUCACCAUAUUAAGCCACAUAAGGAUCAUGGGUUUCAACUAACAAACACAUAUACUUCAUGAAAACACCUUUAGAUAUCAUCUUGAAACUUAAACAACAGUCAUCAACAUGUAUAUGCUCAUAUCACAACAAGACAAUCACAAAAUAUUUAAAAUAUGGUUCUUAAGCUCUAUGAGCGAAAUGAAUCCAUAGAUGAACACUACACAUACCUGACUCAAGGUUCUUGAUGUUUUUUUGAACUUGAAGCAUUUGAAAUCCUUUGAUUUUUUAAGAAGAUUGAGUCUUGUUCUUGGAGAUUAAAUUUAGAGAGAAACCCUAGUUUUUGUUUGUGAAAUAAUAAUGAGCAAAAUGGCUGAAUUCGGACUCAUCUAGGUAUUUAUAGGCGAGUUAUAAGUGACUAAAAUACCCCUGUUAAAAUGGCCUGGAAGUAAACUAAACGUGGCGUGUAAUGACCCGACUGACGGUCCGUCAGGAACUUGACGGUCCGUCAUUUCAACCAUCAUACGUUGACCAGAAAUGGGGUUCACUAGAUAAGAGUUGACGGCCUGGAUGAUGGUCCAUCAAAAAUCUGAUGGUCCGUCAACUCGACCAUCAAUCCUUAUCCAGAACGUGGCCCUACUGCCUUGGCUGUGACGGUCCGUCACUUGUUUGGCGGUCCGUCAACUUGGACGUCGCACCUGGGCAUUUCUGUUAGUUUUGAGUAAAACAUCCAUAACUUCCUCGUCUGGUGUCGGAUUUGGACAAAAUUGGUAUUGUUAGAAAUCUAACUCAAUUUAUCAUGUGAUAGAAAGUAGAAAUCUCAAAAAUACCAUGGGUACAAAAAUAGAUUUGUAUUUCAAAGCAAGUACUAGCAUCCUUAAGAUGAUUUCUAGCUAGGAACAAGUACGGGUAUUACAAUAUUUCCUCCUUGAGAACAUUCGUCGUCGAAUGAGAGUGACUAAGAGGGAAAAUAAUAAAUGAACAUGAACUGAACAUGAGUUACUGAGACAUGACUUCAUGACUGACAUGCUAAAUAUACUGAACUCAUGUACAUCUGAUUUAUGGCUAACUGGUACAAAAAUGUGUGACUGAGUGUUCUGAUAAACUGAGUUUAUUAAGAUGAGAAUGCAUAGCUGAUGCAUGAUUUUAUAACUGAACUGAUACAUGAAUGCAUGAUAGAGUAUGAAAUGGUAGUAGAUACCACAUUUAUAAUGGGAACAUAAAUAUGAAACUGAAUAAGCUUAAGGCAAACUAUUACCUUGAGCUUGAUCUAAAUCGGCAGAGAAGAGGUAAGGAUACUUGGUACAUCUUCUUCUGCUUCUGCUUCCCAAGUAGCUCCCUCAACGGACUGAUUUCACCAAAGAACCUUAACUAGAGAGACCUCUUUGUUCCUCAAUCUAAGAGUCUGAUAGUCUAAGAUUUUGAUUGGACUCUCUUUAUAAGAGAGACUGUUCUGAACAUCAAUGCUUUAAAUAGGGACUACAAAUACUAGGUCACCUACGCACUUCUUAAGAAAGGAUACAUGAAAGACCAGAUGAACUGAGGCUAAAUCUGAAGGCAAUUUGAGCUCAUAAGCUACCUUGCCUAAACGACUGAGAAUCCUGAAGGGACCGACAUAGCGGGAUUGAGUUUUCCUUUCUGGCCGAACCUCUUCAUUCCCUUCAUGGGAGAGAUCUUGAGAUAGAUAUAGUCAUCAACCUCGAACUCAAGAUCCUUUCUAAGAACAUCAGCAUAAGAAUUUUGUCGGCUCUGAGUAGCCUGGAGUCUCUCUCUGAUAAACUAAAAUUUCUCUAAGGCAUCGAAAACCAAGUUAAGACCUAUGACUGAGGCCUCACUAAUUUUAAACCAACUAAUUGGAGAUAUACACCUCCUACUAUAGAGAUCUUUGAAUGGAGCCAUUUUAAUACUGGAAUGGUAGCUAUUGUUGUAUGCAAACUCAAUCAAAGGCAAGUGUUCAUCCCAACUUCCUUUGAAAUCAAUUGCACACGCCCUUAGCAUAUCUUGAGGAGUAUGAAUGGUCCUUUUUGCUUGAUGAUCUUUCUGAGGAUGAAAGGGUGUACUGAGAUGGAUUUGGGUUCCAAGACCCUUUUGGAAUGCUUUCCAGAAGUGAGAGGUGAACUAGGUACCUCUGUCUGAAAUAAUAGAUAAUGGAUCACCAUGUAAUCUAACCAACUCCUUGAUAUAGAGUUUGGUGUAAUCCUAGGCUGAAUAAGAGGUAUAAACUGGAAGAAAAUGAGCUGACUUGGUUAUCCUAUCUACAAUAACCCAAAUUGAAUCGUUCUGAUGAUGAGUUCGAGGCAAACCCAUCACGAAGUCUAUGUUCACUUCUUCCCACUUCUAAGUAGGAAUAGUGAACUCCUGCAUAGGUCCACUAGGCUUCUGAUGCUCUAUCUUAACUUGCUGACAUGUAAAGCACUUAUAUAGAAACUCUAUAACAUCUCUCUUCAUCCCACUCCACCAAUAGAUUUCCCAUAGGUUGCGAUACAUCUUAGUGGCCCUGAUAUGAAUAGAGUAUCGCGCACCAUGCGCUUCUACAAGAAUUCAUUACUUUAAGUCAUCUAUACCUGGAAUGUACAAACGACCCUGACAAUGAAGAACCCCAUCUCCCCCUUAGGAGAAAACCUCUACUCUCUGAUUUUGAACUGACUCUUUUAGCUUGACAAGGCUAGGAUCCCUGUCUUUCUUUUCUUUCACCUCAGAAACUAGAGAUGACUCUGAACUACUCUGAACACAUACACCACCCUCCAAAGAAUCGACUAAGCAAACACCUAGUCUGGCGAGCUGAUGGAUUUCCUAAGCUAUCUUCUUCUUGUUGUCCUCGACGUGAGAAACACUACCCAUGGAGAGUCUACUGAGAGCGUCGGCCUUAACUUUGGCCUUUCUCAGAUGGUAAAAGACGCUCAUGUCAUGAUCUUUCAAAAGCUCUAGUCAUCUUCUCUAACGAAGAUUGAGAUCUUUCUGAGAAAAGACAUACUAGUAAGGACAGCUGUGAGUGACCCUUAGCUGAUAGGUACUCAAAAUGAGAAUGGUGGAAACCCUAAACUGACGGAUUAAUCCACCUCAUCAACCCUAAUCUGACAGGUUAAGAUGUCUCAACCUAUGUUGGCUACGUAGUUCUGGAACAUAAGGAUGAUUCCUAAGAAUCACAUCCUAAAAUGGUAGGUGAUUUCCCAUCCUUGGGUUCACUCGGGGCUAACUUAUACUCCCAUUUGAAGAGACUAAAUGUGAUUUAACUGAUGGUACAUGGACUGCGUAACUAACUUCCGUUGACUGGUGGAUUAGUGCUACUAUCUGAGAAUUAAUUGAGAUCAUGAAAUUUUUGAGGUUUCCUAAGUCACAUGCCCGACUGAGUUCUAUAGAUCAUGGAUUGACUGAUAAUAUCAUGAUAACAUGACAUCGCUCUAGGCACACAACUAUAUUUUUUGGGUACAAGUACCCCCAGGACUCGAUGGAAGGAAACUGACACACAUGAUUGACUUGAUCAUAAGAGUAGAAUCCACAAUUUACCAUAUCAAUAGUAGGGGAUUUCACACUAAGCAUAGUUAUCAACAUUUUAUACAUAGAAGGGAAAUUCAUACAACAUGUAUAUACUUGCAUAGCUUCAAUAUCAUGGUCAAUCCAUAUCACAACAAUAACGCAUAUCACUCACAUAGAAUUCAUGGGAAAUCGUAAAGCAUAGAGCAUGGACUUGUCAUUUAAGCACUAUUAAAUCAUGGGACAUGAAUUCUAUCAUCUAUGCAUAUUAUCAAACACUUUGCAUGCAUUUUUUUAGCUUAAGUGUGUUCAUGAAUUUCACCAUAUUAAGCCACAUAAGGAUCAUGGGUUUCAACUAACAAACACAUAUACUUCAUGAAAACACCUUUAGAUAUCAUCUUGAAACUUAAACAACAAUCAUCAAUAUGUACAUGCUCAUAUCACAACAAGACAAUCACAAAAUAUUUAAAAUAUGGUUCUUGAGCUCUAUGAACGAAAUGGAUCCAUAGAUGAAUACUAUGCAUACCUGACUCAAGGUUCUUGAUGUUUUUUGAACUUGAAGGAUUUGAAAUCCUUUGAUUUUUGAAGAAGAUUGGGUCUGGUUCUUGGAGAUUAAAUUUAGAGAGAAACCCUAGUUUUUGUUUGUGAAAUAAUAAUGAGCAAAAUGGUUGAAUUCAGACUCAUCUGGGUAUAUAUAGGCGAGUGAUAAGUGACCAAAAUACCCCUGUUAAAACGUCUUAGAAGUAAAAUGAACAUCGCGUGUGACAACCCGACUGAAGGUCGUCAGAAACUUGAAGGUCCAUAAUUUUGACCGUCCUACGUGGACCAGAAAUGUGGUUCACUGGAUAAGAGUUGACGGCCAGGAUGACGGUCCGUCAAAAAUCUGACAGUCCGUCAACUUGUCCGUCAAUCCUUAUCGAGAACGUGGCCCUACUGCCUUGGCUGUGAUGAUCAAAGUGGCGGUUCGUCACUUGUUUGGCGGUCCAUCAACUUGGACGUUGUACUUGGGCGUUUCGGUCAGUUCUGAGUAAAACAUCCAUAACUUCCUCGCCUGGUGUCGGAUUUGGACAAAAUUGGUAUCGUUAGAAAGCUAACUCAAUUUCUCACGUGAUAGAAAGUAGAAAUCACAAAAAUACCAUUGGUACAAAAAUAUAUUUGUAUUUCAAAGCAAUUACUAGAUCCUUAAGAUGAUUUCUAGCUAGGAAUAAGCACGGGUAUUACACUAGUGUAAUAGGAACUCUAUAUUUAUAACAAGUUUUAAAAAAUCAUACGUAGAAUUUCAUCUAAUAUCAAUUUCCUCAGGCAUCAAUAUCAGUGUAAGUCCAUUUUCUUGACAUUUAACUUUAAAUUCUCUAAUUCUCGAUCUACGAUUAUUUCCUUGAAUAAAACCAACAGCAAGACGAAUUUUUUCAAUAUAAAGCUCAAAAAGUUCAAACCAUCUUUUACAAUUAAAUUAUAUAUAUGACAUGCACACUUAAUAUGAAAAAUUUCAGGCAACGGUGGAGAUAACUUAAAUUUUAAUUUUUUUAUAGCAGUGUUGUUAUUAGAAACAUUAUCAAAAGAAAUACAUAAGAUUUUAUUUUCUAUACCAUAAAAUCCGACAACUUUAACAAUAGAAUCAGCAAUAAAAUCUCCAGUAUGUUUACGAUCUUCAUCAUAUAAAAAAGCAAGAAUACAUUUUUGCAUCACAAAAUUACUAUCCAUCCAAUGACAAGUAACGGAAAAAUAAUAUUCUGAAUGAUGUCUAAAAAUAUUGGCCCUACAAGUACUUCUAGGAAUACCAUUAAACAUAGGAUUAUAAAUUGCUUGAAUAUAAUGAAUAAAGGCAUCAGAAGAAGGAAAACUAAAAGGUAAACAACCCACAGCUACCAUUUUAGCUAUUUCUUCUGGGUCCCUCAAUUUAUUAUACUUCUUCAUUACCUGAUCGGUUGCUGAGUCCAUUUUAGUUUGCAUUGGCCCCACCACCUCGUGCAAUUUUUAACUCUCUUUCAUCAGCAUCACCUAUAUGUCUCAUUAACGUACCCAUACUCCUUUGCUUGCCUCCGCUUUUAUGCUUAUAUAUUUGUUGACAAAUAUUGAAUUGCACCUCAGUAUUUGAUAUACGUUCAAAAAAUUACCAUGAAAUACUAGUUGUUUUACGAGGUAUUGGGGCACGGGGAGGACGGGAAGGGAGAUUAACUGAUUCAGAUCUAACGUUAGCAUUUCCUACAAUGGGUGUCUCACCAAUAUUUUGAUCCUCUUCAUCUAAAUUAACCGUAUCUACUUCAUUUUCUUCUUCUAUACUGUAAUUUUCCUGAGCUUCUACAUAAUCAAUAUCGUGAGCACCUACACCUAUUUCUUCCUGAAAAGUGUACCAAGUGGUAUCGGAGGCGAAGGCACACGGGUAUAUCUACUACUUGAAGUACCUCUACCGCUAGUAAUUCGGUUUUUACUACCACUACCUCUUCCGGGACAAAAAAAAUUAACACCUUUAGUAGCAAGGUUUCUUAAUUUAUCCAUAGUAUAAAUUAAAUUAAACUAAAAAAAUUCAAAAUACACAAAUAUAAUAAAAUUAAAUAUUCAACAAUUAAUACAAUAAAUAAAAAUUAAACGUAAGAGAUGGAACGACAAUACUAAAUUUUGAAAGUAUUCGAAGGUUGCGACUUUAGAAACUUCCACUCGUACUUUGUAAAUGUAAAAUUAAAAAAUUAAAGUGAGCACUUUAGGAAAUUAAAUAUAUUGAAUAUUUGAGAAUUGAGAAUUGAGAUUUGAGAGAGAAUGAGAUUUGAGAGAGUGAAACUUGUGUCAAAAAUGAUUUGGAGGUUAGGGUAUUUAUAGAAUUUUUUUUUGGAUUAAAAAAUUAUUUCAAAAGUAAAAAUAUUUUUUUUUAUUAAUGGGCCCAAACUAGUCGUUUGGACCCAAAAACGACAAUAUAGCCAUUGGGCCAACGACUAGUUUGGCCCAGAAUCCAAAAUUAAAAAAAAAAUAUUAAUUUGGGCUGGGCCGAACCGAUUAACCAGUGGGUCGGGCCGGUUAAUCGGCGGACCUAGAUCGGGCUUGGUCCGGGCCGGAUUAAUCGAGCCCAAAUAAAAAAAAGCCAGCCCGGUACCCGAAACCCUAAAACCCUUGGGAUUAUCGGGCUGGGUCAAACUGGGCUGGUUUCUUUAGGUGGGCCGGUUCGGGCCGGGUCAGCCCGGUCCACUUGACAUCCUUAUGUAAAACCAUUGCAAAAAGAUAGUACAACAAGAGAUUAGAAGUAACAAUAAAAUUCAAAUAUAAGUGAAUAGAUCUGGAAAGGAACAAGAAUGUAAACUAAAUUUAUAAUUGACCAAGUAAAGUAGAUUUAAAUUAUUUUGAUUAUUUGUGAGAGAAAGUAGUAAACCGUCAUAAACCACCAUGUGAGUGCAAGGAGUCUAAGCCGCCCCAAUCAGGUAAGCCAUCUUAUAUCUUGUCGGGAAUAGGACGUGACAUAAAUUUGCUAGCGAGUAUCCAUGGCUAGCCCUUUUUUGGGACACAUGAAAGAAAAAGAGAGUAUCCGACUUGCGGAAUGAUCUCUAUUCUAUGUCGGCAAACAUAGUUUCGGGCAUUUGUCGUUUAAACGUAUACCUUCACGGUUAGCAACUCCCUUAUGCUCAUGAUGUUAUCUUAUUUAUUAGUUCUUGAAAAAUGUUAGCCCUGUCAGGAUCAUACUCAUGGUUUAACCAUUUUAGGCUCGCGUACAUAUGUUUGCCAUUUAAGGCUAAUAAUUAUGAAUUUGUCCUUUAGAACUCACGCUUGAAAAAUCAACCUCUUUGGUAUCAUGCCUCAUGAAUUAUUAUAGUUAUUGAGCAUUUGGAGUGUCAUGAAUAGUAAAGUGUUGGUACAUUAUAACAAUAUUUCAUCUACAGCUUCCACCGCACUUAAUGAAACUAAUAAGCAACUUGAAGGGUUCUAGUUGAGGUUUGGAAUUCAUAUCUAAAAGUUGGAGUUCCUAGUUAUGAUGUCUAAUCAAAACUAAUUAAAAUUUUAUAUACUUUAGUUUAAGAACUCCAAGAAUUUUAUGUUAAAGAUCACAAAACGAAUGUACCACUUAACUGUUUGGUUGGUGAGAAUGGAAGAGACUAGCUACAACGGAGAGACUUCAGAGAUUUUGAAUAAAUUUACCACUUGAUUGUGUAUUCUAUGUCAUAGAUAAUGAAUCUUUUGAUCAUCGAUUCUUUCUUUGUUUUUUCUAAUUAUGUUACAGGGUAUGUGUAGAAGAAUAUUGGCCUGGUUAGAGUACAUAUAAAUACGGGAAGAUGGUAAAACAAACUCUAACGGACAUGCCUUUGGGCUAAGAAUAAAUCCAGCAGAGGUGCAGUAGUUAGCUGCGUGUUUUUGAUGGUAAUGUAUGUCAUCAUAUGGUGAGGAACAAGAUCAAUUUACAGGUUGGUCAUUUCCCCUAUGACAAAGUCUGUCGAAAAAUUGUAAUUCGUGUUUAUAACGACAGAGUAGUGACAAAACUGCAAGCUGCCUUGCACGGUUUAAAUGGAAUACCUUGAAAAGGAUACUGCUCUAACUUACUGUGUAGUGUCUUUAUUUAAUAGUAGAGUAGGAAAAAUUGGAAUUGUUGAGGUAACAAUAUAUUGUCUGAAUGUUGCAGCGAGAGAAGUAGUGGUCUGUAGUGUUCUAGUUUUGUAAUUAUGCACUAGGAAAAAGUAAAGAAGCAUAUUAUAACUACAAGGCUGGGGGAAUUGGAUCAAAUAUGGACAACCUGAAGCUGGACACUGUACAGAAAACACGUUAUAGACAGAGAUGCAAUCACGCAACAGAAACAAAAUUAAGUCCAAGAAAGAGUAGAUAUGCUUAGAAGUUCAAAAAGAGCUGAAGAUGUCUUUUUUUGAUCAACAGAUUAUGUAAUUAAAUCUUUUGUUGAGGCCUCACUUCUCUUAAAGAAUAGGUGCUCUCUAGGUGUAAUCGCUUGACUUUGAAACUAUAAUCUUUCACAUUAUUAGAAUUCACAAAAUUUUGAAAAGGAGUUAUCCGAAAACAUUCCAACAACUUACUUUAACAAUGCAAUUUCACAAAUAAAGCUGUAGAAGUUCCUUUAAUCUUAAAUAGCUUGGGAGUGAUUUGAAUUGGAUAAUAGUAAAAUGUCCAGAAACAAAAGUAAUGAAUGAUUCUACAUACCUCUUAAAAAUUGAAAGACCUUG